rnacentral:lncRNA from 1 species
CUUUAUUUUUAUUUUGUUUCAUGCAAUGAAGGUUUUUUUUUCUAAGACCAACACGUUAAUGUUUCCAGUGGACGGUUAUGUUCUUUGAAGGAAGCACCACACCAGACAACGUACAAGCAUGCAACGCCCAAUGGCACAGUCGGAAAACCUUUCUCACGAAAAGUUUUUCAGACUGAAGCGAGACUCAAACCCACAUUUUUGUCACGAUGCGACCAAAUACCUGGCGAGCCGCACCGCCACAAAGCCCACAGUUUGGCUAAAAAUUAUAAUUUUAACGUCUAAAAUUAACAAAUAGCCAUAACUUCUCCAAUCUACAUGUAGUAGUUCGAGUGGAAGUCUUUUACUUGAAUAGCGUUCGAACCACCAUGUCAUUUAUUUCACUUGUUUUGAAAUGAGCUAAAUAUCUUAAAAAUAGCUUUUUGACCACAUUUUAUUUUCGAAAAAUCACAAGAAAACAAAUUACAAUAUCCAUUCACAAUGGCGUAAUUCCCAUCCAUGUUUCGAUGAUGGCGGAGUAUCUCCUUCUCCAAGCAGCUGUUUAAUGGCUGGGGUUUUCGUGUCUGUAAAAACUCUGCCUUCGUAUUUGGUAUCGCCGACCAAUAUUUCAUCAGCCUGUAGAAGCUCGUUCAGGACGUAAUUGCGAAUUUUAGUCGCCAAGCCACCGCCACCGAUUAUAAAAUACCACAAGCUCUUAGCGGUCAGCUCUGGCUUGGCAACAACGACUCGAUCAAACUGAUUCGGUCGGUGUUUUCUUGUGGGAACCAAAAACUCCAAUGUGAGAAUAUUUUGUAUCACAUACGGAACGUCCCCCGUACCGUUCUUCCAUGGAUAGUACAGCUUCCAGUAAGCAGUGUGUUUGAUUCUCAGUGUGCUAACCAGCGUUCCGGAAGGGGGUCUAUAUUUGUCAACAUAAGCCAAGUGACCUCCGUCCUCCAUCUUGUUGCCUAAAUACAGAGUUCCAUAGUUUUCUGUACUUUUCAUUCGAACACAGGCCGCACCUGUUUCAAAAUACGGUUGCACAACUAAUACUGCAGCUCUGCUACAAGGACAAUCGCAAAAGUUAACAGCAGAUGUAAUUGUUGCUACUAUUAGUAAUAAAACUGUUAGGAAUAUUUGCUUUAGAACACACAUCGUGCAAUGCCAAUAGUUCAAAUGGAAUCUUUGCAAGCCGUG